UUUUAUGGAGAGUUUGAUCCUGGCUCAGGAUGAACGCUGGCGGCGUGCCUAAUACAUGCAAGUCGAGCGAACAGACGAGGAGCUUGCUCCUCUGACGUUAGCGGCGGACGGGUGAGUAACACGUGGAUAACCUACCUAUAAGACUGGGAUAACUUCGGGAAACCGGAGCUAAUACCGGAUAAUAUAUUGAACCGCAUGGUUCAAUAGUGAAAGACGGUUUUGCUGUCACUUAUAGAUGGAUCCGCGCCGCAUUAGCUAGUUGGUAAGGUAACGGCUUACCAAGGCAACGAUGCGUAGCCGACCUGAGAGGGUGAACGGCCACACUG
rnacentral:rRNA from 1 species